GUGAAGUUGCUCAGUCAUGUCCGACCCUCAGCAACCCCAUGGACUGCAGCCUUCCAGGCUCCUCCAUCCAUGGGAUUUUCCAGGCAAGAGUACUAGAGUGGGGUGCCAUUGCCUUCUCCAAAAUUUAUCUAUAUUGUGUGAAUAAUACUGAUGGCAUCUUUCUCAGGCCCACCCAAAAACUUCCCAGAAAAUUAUUUUAAGACAACUCAUUUGAGAAAGUCACAUUGGAAGCGCUUUCAGAAAGGAACCAUGUUAGUCUCCUGAAGCAGCCUGCCCCACCUCAGUUCCUGCUGCUCCGUGCAGAUCCCAGUCUGUGGGCAGUCAUCGGUCACCGCCCCCGUCCAUCCACAGUGGUCUGACUGCUGGGCCCCAAGUUCCUUCCUCCUCACUGCCCAGGCUGGCAGAGCUCUAGUCGGCAUGGAUGUGAUGAUCCUGAUGCAGGGGCCACAACUCUGCCUGGGUCUUGAUCUUUUGCUUUUGGUCUUCUAGUAAAGACAUUUAUAAUCCA